AUUGUUUCCUGUGUCUCCUCUUAUAUAAAAUGUAUUACACUAUAUCGAAUCCCACUUUUUCUUCAUAACCAAGUUUGGCCCUAUUGGCAGCUGGAACUUUUACUUAAGGCUGUGUGCCUUUCUAGACUAUGCACUUUCAGGUGAUAGGCCUAAAGCAUCUUUAUUUUUUGCGUUCACCAAUGGGUUCAUUAUUUACAUUAGUUCUCAACCUUUGCCAACAUCCCUUAAACUAGGAAACACAAAGCUUGGUCAAGAAAUGUGAAAAAAAUUGUUUGUAAAUUGUUGACAUAAAUACCUUGACACCAAGGCUCCAUUGCACGUCAUUUGGCUUUCUUUUUGCCAAAAUAAGCAUGUUGAGUUGCAUCGUUACAGAAUAGUGAAGUACUAACCGAAUUCAUGUCAGUACUGAAGUAGUAGUUGAUUACGAUUUCUUUCUUAUCUUCAGCUACUUAACUUUAAUCAGUUUCAUCACCUUUCAUAUGUUUUCUCCGUAUUAUCGGCCUGUAUCCUCGUCUCGAAAAGAAACCAUUUAGUACUGCUCAUUGUUUCCCACGUGUACAAUGUGAUUAUAAUUAUGCACACAGAGGGUACCAGGUCUGAGAACUGGCUAGCCUCCUUGUCUUUCCGUCUAUACCGGCUUCCUUCUGCGUAUGUACACUGUGACAAUGAUUGCACGGAAUUGUUUACGCGUGCGGUUUGAUUCUGUUUUAUUUGAAAUCCUAAAGCUGCGUGAAGGAACAGCUGUGCGUGCACUUCUCUUUCUCGAGUGGCGUUGGUUUGAUUCCUUGGGUAAUGUUUGCAUGCUGACACAAAUUUAUCCGGAAAACACGGGAAAAUAACUAAAUAUGUUAAUCGCGAACUUUUGUUGCAGGUUCAACUGCACGUACGAUGAGACCUCUGCUUCUAGUAUAUUCGGUGGCCUUCUGUGGCCUGCUGGUGUCAGGCAAUUUGCAAUGCGCUGCCACCUGCAGGUAAACCAAGUGGAAACCCUCUAGAUCAGACGGAGUCAUUUGGAAGCAAAGACACUCAAGUUCCCGCUGGAUUGAUCGGCCAGCCAAGUGAACCAAACAACGCUGAAGAAGCACGCUGUCCACCGGAAACCGGCUCGCCCGUAAGCGAUGGGAGGAGCGGCGAUUCUGAGAGCAAGGAACAAGGCCAGAAGGAGCAGAGUGAACAUUUAGCGAGGCCAACACGCGACGUCGAGAACGAUAACGGGAAGGGGCCCCUUUCCUCUGAGGACAGAGUUGGAAGUAUGCAAGCGAAAUAGCACCAAACCUGGCGUAUCCCCUCCUAGACAAAGGAAGGCAGAUGGCACUUAUGAAGUGAUCUUCGGCUAUCAGCAAUCUUAAUUAAUAUCGAAAAUCCCCAGUUUCAUGAACUGGGCUUGCUUUUUAAACUGUAGCCAGGCGUAGUACGUUUUCCAGUGAUGCUACACAGCGUAUUCACUAUUCCUAUGAAAAUGCAGAAAAUGAUUCAAAUUGCGCUGCUAUUACCGGCCCUAUCUAUAGCGCCAGUGAACAUGCGAUAACCUUUGCUCUAAUUAAAACAAAAUAUACGAAGCAUGA